UACGGGGGGGGCAAGCGUUGUUCGGAAUUACUGGGCGUAAAGGGCUCGUAGGUGGCCAACUAAGUCAGACGUGAAAUCCCUCGGCUUAACCGGGGAACUGCGUCUGAUACUGGAUGGCUUGAGUUUGGGAGAGGGAUGCGGAAUUCCAGGUGUAGCGGUGAAAUGCGUAGAUAUCUGGAGGAACACCGGUGGCGAAGGCGGCAUCCUGGCUCGCAACUGACGCUCAGACACGACAGCAUGGGGAGCGAACGGG
rnacentral:rRNA from 1 species